GACGAACGCUGGCGGCGUGCUUAACACAUGCAAGUCGAACGGAAAGGCCCUGCUUUUGUGGGGUGCUCGAGUGGCGAACGGGUGAGUAACACGUGAGUAACCUGCCCUUGUCUUUGGGAUAACUUCAGGAAACUGGGGCUAAUACCGGAUAGGAGCUCCUGCUGCAUGGUGGGGGUUGGAAAGUUUCGGCGGUUGGGGAUGGACUCGCGGCUUAUCAGCUUGUUGGUGGGGUAGUUGCUUACAAAGGCUUUGACGGGUAGCCGGCCUGAGAGGGUGACCGGCCACAUUGGGACUGAGGUACGGCCCAGACUCCUACGGGAGGCAGCAGUGGGGAAUAUUGCACAAUGGGCGGAAGCCUGAUGCAGCGACGCCGCGUGCGGGAUGACGUCCUUCGGGUUGUAAACCGCUUUCGCCUGUGACGAAGCGUGAGUGACGGUAAUGGGUAAAGAAGCACCGGCUAACUACGUG
rnacentral:rRNA from 1 species